rnacentral:misc_RNA from 1 species
GAUGAAGAACGCAGCGAAAUGCGAUAAGUAAUGUGAAUUGCAGAAUUCAGUGAAUCAUCGAAUCUUUGAACGCACCUUGCGCCCUUUGGACUUCUGAAGGGCAUGCCUGUUUGAGUAUCAUGAACACCUCAACUCCUUAUGGUCUUCCAUGAUGAGCUUGGACUUUGGGGGUUUUGCUGGCCUACAGUCAGCUCCUCUAAAAUAAAUCAGCUUACCGGUGUUUGGUGGGUAUCAUGGGUGUGAUAACUAUCUACGCUCGUGGUUUUCCACCAGGUAACCUUCAGCAGUGGAGGUUCACUGGAGCUCAUAGAUGUCUCUCCUCAGCGAGGACAGCCCUUUGAAUGUUUGAUCUCAAAUCAGGUAGGACUACCCGCUGAACUUAAGCAUAUCAAAAGCGGAGGA